GUGGACGUGGAACACGAGCACCUCGCAGGCUGCUGCCUGACUCAUGGAUGGAGAGCCCGAGGCGAGCUACCGGCGCCUCCUUCCGGAGCACACUUCCCCGCUGAGUCGCCGACCGGGUCGACUCCUUCCCCUGCAAGUUCCCGCCAAUUCGCCUCCCUCCAAAACCUAAUCUGACAAUUCCCCAAGUCAUACAAAUGCCCCCACCCAUCACCCCUCCAAUUCCCCUCCCCGCGACUCCUAACCACCCAGGGUUUUUCCUCCCGCGCCGCCAUGCCGCGCGGAGCCGGGGACCCCUCCUCCGGAUCCAGCCGCGGCCAGCGGCGCCGCCGCGACGAGGAGGAGGACGAGGACGAGCUCCCCUCCGACAGCACCUCCGACUCCGACUUCGUCGCCCAUUCCGAGGACGAGGUGGGAGACGACGACGACGACGAGGGGUUCGUGCCCGAUGAGGACGCGCCGCCCGCGCCGGCGCCCGCGAUGGCUGCGCCGCCGCCUCCGCCGCCGGUGCUGAACCGGACGCGGAACCGGGAUGGGAGGAGGAGGAGGAGGGGGAAGAAGGCGAGGGACGAGGAUCUGCUGCCUCUGCCGUGGCAGGUGUGGGAGACGGCCAACGAAAGGUGGCUCGACGAGCGGGGGAAGGACGGCGGCCACGGUGAGGUCCCGGACGACGCCGGGGCCGCGGCGGCCGUGCCCACCGCGGACCCGGCCCCGGAGGUGGUCCUCCCGCUCCUGCGCUUCCAGAAGGAGUGGCUCGCGUGGGCGCUGGCGCAGGAGGCCUCCGUCUCGCGGGGCGGCAUCCUCGCCGACGAGAUGGGGAUGGGGAAGACCAUCCAGGCCAUAUCGCUCGUCCUCACCGCGCGCCGCCUCCGGCCCCCGGGCCACCACCACUCCGCGGCAGCAUCAUCCUCAUCCUCAUCCUCGGCGGGGCAUCCGAUGCGCCGGGUCGGGUGCCCGCUGGUCGUCUGCCCGGUUGUGGCCGUCAUCCAGUGGACCGAGGAGAUUGAGCGGCACACCGCCAGUGGCAGAGCGCGCGUGCUAAUCUACCACGGCGCCAAGCGGGGCACGCACAAGUUCGACUUCAACAACUACGACUUCGUCGUCACCACCUACUCCACCAUUCAGGCGGACUACCGGAAGCACAUCAUGCCACCCAAGAUCCGGUGCCAAUACUGCAACAAAUUGUUUUACCCCAACAACCUGAAGGUGCACUUGAAGUAUUUUUGUGGGCCUGAUGCCGUGCGAACUGAGAAGCAGGCGAAGCAGGAGAGCAAGAAGUGGGGCGGCAGCAGGGGGAAGGGAAAGAGAAAGGAUCAUAAGAAGGAUGGUGAUGAGGAGAUUGCGGAUUUUGAUGAAUUGGCUGAUGAACUGGUCAGACAGUCAAGGGGUCAGUCACCUCUGCACUCUGUGCGGUGGGAGCGGAUCAUCUUGGAUGAGGCUCACUUCAUAAAAGAUAGACGGUGUAAUACUGCAAGGGCUAUUUUUGCAUUGGAGUCAGAAUACAAGUGGGCUCUGAGUGGGACACCUUUGCAGAACCGCGUUGGAGAACUUUACUCACUUAUUCGCUUCUUGCAAAUCUUCCCCUAUUCAAACUAUUUCUGCAAGGACUGUAACUGUGAGAUACUAGAUACCAGUAUGAAGAAGCAGUGCGACUGUGGUCACUCAUCUGUUAGGCACUUCUGCUGGUGGAAUAAGUACAUAGCAAGGGCAAUACAGUCAGGUUCAGCAAGUGAUGAAGGCAAAAGAGCCAUGAUGCUUCUGAAGGAGAAAGUUCUGAAAGGCAUAGUAUUAAGGCGCACCAAAAAAGGCCGGGCUGCAGAUCUUGCUAUUCCACCAAAGAUUGUGACUUUGAGGCGGGACUCUUUUGAUAAAAACGAAAUGGAAUUCUAUGAAGCUUUGUAUACUCAAAGCGUCACACAGUUUGAUUCAUAUGUAGUUGCUGGAACACUGAUGAACAACUAUGCUCAUAUCUUCGAUCUUCUCACGAGGUUGAGACAGGCUGUUGAUCAUCCCUACCUUGUAGCAUAUUCUAAGACAGCAGGACCUCGUGAAGCAUUUAAAAAUGAAGGAAAUGAGUCCAUGGAAAGCCAAUGUGGUAUAUGUCAUAGUGUGGCUGAAGAUGUUGUGGUUACCUCUUGCGAUCAUGCAUUCUGCAAGACUUGUUUGAUGGACUACUCUGCAACUUUGGGGAACGUUUCAUGUCCAUCCUGUUCAGUACCUCUUACUGUUGACUUAACAACAAAAGGUUCAGUUGAAAAGGUAACUCGUAGUGUCAAGGCAAACGCUCUGGAAUACUGAGCAGACUACCGAGCCUUGAGGAUUUUAAGACGAGUACAAAAAUUGAUGCCUUGAGAGAGGAGGUACGAAACAUGAUUGAGCGUGAUGGCUCUGCCAAAGGGAUUGUGUUCAGCCAGUUCACAUCAUUCUCGGAUCUGAUUCAAUUCUCCUUGGAGAAGUCCGGCAUCAAGUGUGUCCAGCUGAAUGGGGCCAUGAACAUCACCGAGAAGGGAAGAGCCAUAGACACCUUCACCAAUGACCCAGACUGCAGGAUCUUCCUGAUGAGCCUGAAAGCUGGAGGAGUAGCUCUGAAUCUCACUGUUGCAUCUCAUGUUUUCCUGAUGGACCCUUGGUGGAAUCCAGCAGUGGAAAGCCAAGCCCAGGAUCGCAUCCACCGAAUUGGACAGUUCAAGCCAAUCAAGAGCACGAGGUUUGUGAUCAAGGACACCGUAGAAGAGCGCAUACUGCAACUGCAACAGAAGAAGCAGCUGGUGUUCGAAGGCACCGUGGGCGACUCGCCGGAUGCCAUGUCGAAGCUUACGGAGGCAGACCUCAAGUUUCUGUUCCAGAUCUAACUGCUGCUGGACAUGAGUAGCGUAGCGUACCCUAGGAGCGCCGACGUGCUGGAACCCUGAGACCAUCAAAUGUUAGCAUAGCUUGUCGACUCUCAAACUUCAGUGUAACUGACAAUGAUUAGGAAGCCAUCCCUAGGCAGGCCAGAGUACCCUUGAGUUUUGGAACCUGGGCGAUGGUAGUAGUAUCCCUGCUCAUUGCGCGUGCAAGUGGAACGCGCUUGGAGCAGCCGUUUGGGAAAGAAGAGGGUGUUAUUUGGCGUGA